rnacentral:rRNA from 1 species
AGUCGAGCGGUAGRGAGAAGCUUGCUUCUCUUGAGAGCGGCGGACGGGUGAGUAAUGCCUAGGAAUCUGCCUGGUAGUGGGGGAUAACGUUCGGAAACGGACGCUAAUACCGCAUACGUCCUACGGGAGAAAGCAGGGGACCUUCGGGCCUUGCGCUAUCAGAUGAGCCUAGGUCGGAUUAGCUAGUUGGUGAGGUAAUGGCUCACCAAGGCGACGAUCCGUAACUGGUCUGAGAGGAUGAUCAGUCACACUGGAACUGAGACACGGUCCAGACUCCUACGGGAGGCAGCAGUGGGGAAUAUUGGACAAUGGGCGAAAGCCUGAUCCAGCCAUGCCGCGUGUGUGAAGAAGGUCUUCGGAUUGUAAAGCACUUUAAGUUGGGAGGAAGGGUUGUAGAUUAAUACUCUGCAAUUUUGACGUUACCGACAGAAUAAGCACCGGCUAACUCUGUGCCAGCAGCCGCGGUAAUACAGAGGGUGCAAGCGUUAAUCGGAAUUACUGGGCGUAAAGCGCGCGUAGGUGGUUUGUUAAGUUGGAUGUGAAAUCCCCGGGCUCAACCUGGGAACUGCAUUCAAAACUGACUGACUAGAGUAUGGUAGAGGGUGGUGGA